rnacentral:rRNA from 1 species
CAGCAGCCGCGGGAAUACAGAGGGUGCGAGCGUUAAUCGGAUUUACUGGGCGUAAAGCGUGCGUAGGCGGCUAAUUGAGUCGGAUGUGAAAUCCCCGAGCUUAACUUGGGAAUUGCAUUCGAUACUGGGAAGCUAGAGUAUGGGAGAGGAUGGUAGAAUUCCAGGUGUAGCGGUGAAAUGCGUAGAGAUCUGGAGGAAUACCGAUGGCGAAGGCAGCCAUCUGGCCUAAUACUGACGCUGAGGUACGAAAGCAUGGGGAGCGAACAGGAUUAGAUACCCCCGUAGUCCCUGUCUCUUAUAC